CUAUGUACAUUUAAACAAAAUGGAGGCUCUUUAGUUUUAUUCCACUGGCCAUUUGAAUAUUCAAAUGGCCAUUGAUAUUAACUAAAGAGCCUCCAUUUUGUUUGGAUGUACAUAA